AUGUUGCAGGAAGAGGAGCUGGACCCGUACAAGAGGCGUUCAUUUUACAAGCACGAUCGUGACCAGAACAAGCAUGAUCGCGAUCAGUACAAGCACAAUAUACGGUCCAAAGUGACUGGCAAAUCUGAUGAGGCUUGUCCUGCUACCUCCUCCAAGACAGAUGACAAGGUGGAGUCUCUCAAGGCCUUCUGCAGGGCAAAAGGGUUAUGUUUCACCUGCGGAGACAAAUGGAGCAAAACACACAAGUGCCCUAAUCACGUGCCUCUCCAUGUUAUUGAGGAACUGAUUGAGGUGCUCCAAGCUGAGGAUCCUCCAACAGAAGAGGGCGAGAUGGGUGCAUCCAGUGAUGAUAGUGAGAUCAUGAUGCUUCGCUCGCCGGAGGCUGUGUCCAAGAGCUCGACCAAGCGCACACUCCGGCUGCACGGUUUCAUCGGCAAGCGACACAUAUUAAUCCUAGUGGACUCAGGCAGUGAUUGCUCGUUUGUGAAUGAGCAACUGGUCAAGGAGAUGGAUCUCACCACCGAACCAACGCCUCCAUCGACGUUUGUUAUUGCAGAUGGCAACAGGAUGAGGUGUGAUUCUUUUGUGCCUCAACUGGAAUGGGGAGUGCAAGGACAUUCAUUCACUCAGGAUGUCAAGGUGCUACCGAUGGCUGUUAUGACCUGA
rnacentral:rRNA from 1 species